UAGAAUAGCAAUAUUUGAGACCGGCGCACGGGUGCGUAACGCGUAUGCAAUCUACCUUUUACAGAGGGAUAGCCCAGAGAAAUUUGGAUUAAUACCUCAUAGUAUAGUGAGUUGGCAUCAACACACUAUUAAAGUCACAACGGUAAAAGAUGAGCAUGCGUCCCAUUAGCUAGUUGGUAAGGUAACGGCUUACCAAGGCAACGAUGGGUAGGGGUCCUGAGAGGGAGAUCCCCCACACUGGUACUGAGACACGGACCAGACUCCUACGGGAGGCAGCAGUGAGGAAUAUUGGUCAAUGGGCGCAAGCCUGAACCAGCCAUGCCGCGUGCAGGAUGACGGUCCUAUGGAUUGUAAACUGCUUUUGCACAGGAAGAAACACUCGGUCGUGAACCGAGCUUGACGGUACUGUGAGAAUAAGGAUCGGCUAACUCCGUGCCAGCAGCCGCGGUACGGAGGAUCCAAGCGUUAUCCGGAAUCAUUGGGUUUAAAGGGUCCGUAGGCGGCCAGAUAAGUCAGUGGUGAAAGCCCAUCGCUCAACGAUGGAACGGCCAUUGAUACUGUUUGGCUUGAAUUAUUUGGAAGUAACUAGAAUAUGUAGUGUAGCGGUGAAAUGCUUAGAGAUUACAUGGAAUACCAAUUGCGAAGGCAGGUUACUACAAAUUGAUUGACGCUGAUGGACGAAAGCGUGGGUAGCGAACAGGAUUAGAUACCCUGGUAGUCCACGCCGUAAACGAUGGAUACUAGCUGUUGGGAGCAAUCUCAGUGGCUAAGCGAAAGUGAUAAGUAUCCCACCUGGGGAGUACGUUCGCAAGAAUGAAACUCAAAGGAAUUGACGGGGGCCCGCACAAGCGGUGGAGCAUGUGGUUUAAUUCGAUGAUACGCGAGGAACCUUACCAAGGCUUAAAUGUAGAUUGACCGGUUUGGAAACAGACUUUUCGCAAGACAA
rnacentral:rRNA from 1 species